CAUGCUCAAACACAUUCUCAAAAAACACUCAACUUUGGUAAAUGACAAUUAUCCUAAUCCUAAUAGUCACAAGUAUUCUCCUUUUCCACAAUUAUAUAUACCACACAUAGAGAUAAUGGCCUUUCACGAAGCAAUUACUGCACUUAUUCUACUCACUAAUUGACCUCAAAAAAAAAUUACGAAAUAAACUACUAUUCUUCAUUAGAAAAAUUGAAUUUCAUUUGCACAAAAAGAAUAAAUUAAACUUCACAUGUAUCGUAACCCCUCCAAGUUUGUUUCGUACAAACAUGACUAAAAUAUAUUAUUCAUACCUUCAAAAUCCCUUUCUUUCUUUCUAUUUUAUUUUUAUAACUACCAUUAUCUUCAUAAAAUCACAUUGCAAAAUAGUUUAUCUAUACAAUUCCUUCAAUAAUAACAAUUAUGAAAUACACAUGUUCAACUAAUAAAUAGGUCGUCACCGACCAAUAAAUAAAAACAUUAAUUUCAUAAUUCAAUUUAGCAUUUCACAAUCCUAAAACAUAAGUUAGGUUUUCAUCAAAACAUUUUCAAAGGCUUGAUACUCUUAACAAUUAAUAUUAAUUUCUUUAGCUAAAAUAGAUAUAUCCAUACCAACAUAUAUAAAACAAUUACACCAAAAAUAGUUAAGAGAGACUUACCUGACUCCUAGCAAGCAAAGAAGGCAUGCCCCCACAUUCUAA
rnacentral:lncRNA from 1 species